rnacentral:piRNA from 1 species
UAGCCAAUUAGUUUUUCUACCACUUAGAA